CGCCUGGGGAGUGCGGCCGCAAGGUUAAAACUCAAAUGAAUUGACGGGGGCCCGCACAAGCGGUGGAGCAUGUGGUUUAAUUCGACGCAACGCGAAGAACCUUACCUGGCCUUGACAUCCAGAGAACUUUCCAGAGAUGGAUUGGUGCCUUCGGGAACUCUGAGACAGGUGCUGCAUGGCCGUCGUCAGCUCGUGUCGUGAGAUGUUGGGUUAAGUCCCGUAACGAGCGCAACCCCUAUCCCUGGUUGCUAGCAGGUAAUGCUGAGAACUCCAGGGAGACUGCCGGUGACAAACCGGAGGAAGGUGGGGAUGACGUCAGGUCAUCAUGGCCCUUACGGCCAGGGCUACACACGUGCUACAAUGGCGCGUACAGAGGGCUGCCAACUCGCGAGAGUGAGCCAAUCCCUUAAAACGCGUCGUAGUCCGGAUCGGAGUCUGCAACUCGACUCCGUGAAGUCGGAAUCGCUAGUAAUCGCGAAUCAGGAUGUCGCGGUGAAUACGUUCCCGGGCCUUGUACACACCGCCCGUCACACCAUGGGAGUGGAUUGCACCAGAAGUAGUUAGUCUAACCUUCGGGAGGACGAUUACCACGGUGUGGUUCAUGACUGGGGUGAAGUCGUAACAAGGUAACCGUA
rnacentral:rRNA from 1 species